GGAGAGAUGGCUCAGUGGUUAAGGGCACGGGCUGCUCUUCCAGAGGACCAGGGUUCAUUUCCCUUCCCUCCA
rnacentral:tRNA from 1 species